CCUACGGGUGGCAGCAGUGGGGAAUAUUGCACACUGGGGGACACCCUGAUGCAGCGACGCCGCGUGAGUGACGAAGUAUUUCGGUAUUUAAAGCUCUAUCAGCAGGGGAGCUAAUGACGGUACCUGACUAAGAAGCCACGGCUAACUACGUGACAGCAGCCGCGGUAAUACGUAGGGGGCAAGCGUUAUCCGUAUUUACUGGGUGUAUAGGGUGCGUAGGUGGGAGUGCAAGGCAGAUGUGAAAGCCCGGGGUGCAACCCCGGUACUGCAUUUGAAACUGUCCAGCUGGAGUGCAGGAGAGGUAAGCGGAAUGCCUAGGGUAGCGGUGAAAUGCGUAGAUAUUAGGAGGAACACCAGUGGCGAAGGCGGCUUACUGGACUGUAACUGACACUGAGGCACGAAAGCGUGGGGAUCAAACAGGAUUAGAUACCCCAGUAGUC
rnacentral:rRNA from 1 species